rnacentral:misc_RNA from 1 species
GAGAGUUUGUGGCGUUGGUUGGCCUCAAUGCUGAAAAUGAAAUUCUUCACACGCUUGCAUUUCUAGCUGGGGUCAUGAUUUGGUCACAGGUUACAGAUCUACCAUUUUCUCUCUACUCAACUUUUGUGAUCGAAUCCCGCCAUGGUUUCAAUAAACAAACAGUAUGGUUAUUCUUCAGGGAUAUGAUUAAAGGGAUUUUGUUGUCCAUCUUACUUGGCCCACCAAUUGUGUCUGCAAUCAUUAUAAUAGUACAGAAAGGAGGCCCUUACCUUGCCAUCUAUCUUUGGGCGUUUAUGUUCACACUAUCUCUGGUGAUGAUGACCCUUUAUCCCAUUCUUAUAGCCCCUCUUUUCAAUAAAUUUACCCCUCUUCCUCCAGGUGAUCUCAGGGAGAAGAUUGAGAAACUUGCUUCCUCCCUCAAGUUCCCACUGAAGAAGUUGUUUGUUGUUGAUGGAUCCACGCGGUCAAGCCAUAGCAAUGCAUAC